rnacentral:rRNA from 1 species
AGUGAACGCUGGCGGUAGGCCUAACACAUGCAAGUCGAACGGCAGCACAGUAAGAGCUUGCUCUUACGGGUGGCGAGUGGCGGACGGGUGAGGAAUACAUCGGAAUCUACUUUUUCGUGGGGGAUAAUGUAGGGAAACUUACGCUAAUACCGCAUACGACCUACGGGUGAAAGCAGGGGAUCUUCGGACCUUGCGCGAUUGAAUGAGCCGAUGUCGGAUUAGCUAGUUGGCGGGGUAAAGGCCCACCAAGGCGACGAUCCGUAGCUGGUCUGAGAGGAUGAUCAGCCACACUGGAACUGAGACACGGUCCAGACUCCUACGGGAGGCAGCAGUGGGGAAUAUUGGACAAUGGGCGCAAGCCUGAUCCGGCCAUACCGCGUGGGUGAAGAAGGCCUUCGGGUUGUAAAGCCCUUUUGUUGGGAAAGAAAAGCAGCAGGUUAAUACCCCGCUGUUCUGACGGUACCCAAAGAAUAAGCACCGGCUAACUUCGUG